rnacentral:lncRNA from 10 species
AAAGAGCGCGGGUCCUCGGCCGUGGAGGGUCAAGUGGCUUCUUCUGAGCGCUGAGGGAGGGGAGCGUGCGUAGGGGAUGGUGCCAGCGCUGCGUUAUUUGGUUGGUGCCUGCGGACGGGCCCGCGGGCUUUUCGCCGGUGGCUCCCCUGGGGCGUGCGGGUUCGCGUCUGGGAGGCCAAGACCGCUGUGUGGAGGUAGCCGCAGCGCCAGCACCAGAAGAAACAGUUUGUGUGAAGGCUGUAAGGCUUGGAGAGGUUUUGGCUAUUUUGACGACUAGAAGCUCAUUUGAUAUAGUCAUCGUUGGUGGCGGAAUUGUGGGGCUUGCCUCUGCCAGAGCACUCAUCCUGCGACAUCCAUCACUUUCUAUUGGUGUUCUGGAAAAGGAGAAAGAUUUAGCUGUUCACCAGACUGGACAUAACAGUGGUGUCAUACAUAGUGGAAUUUAUUAUAAACCUGAGUCUCUGAAAGCCAAAUUAUGUGUACAAGGUGCAGCCCUCCUCUAUGAGUACUGUCAGCAAAAGGGAAUUUCCUACAAGCAGUGUGGCAAGCUUAUAGUAGCUGUUGAACAAGAAGAAAUUCCCAGACUUCAGGCCCUAU